GGGGCCGUAAAGGUUUCGACGGGGGCUGUGAACCCUGCUAAGCACGCAGAGAUCGCCUUAUCUCUUUAAACGGGGCACUUUAAAAUUAAACGCAGAUAAUAGAUCUGAAUUAGUAGCUGCCUAAGUGCGCUACCGUCCUUGUAAAGAGCGCUGUGGCUUUAUAAAGGGCGUCGACUAACAGCCAAUGUUUUCGGUGAGAGUCCUGUAGCCGUUAACACAUCAAAGGACUACCGAGUGCCGAUCCUGUGAGCCGGAGCGGUAUAAGGGAAACAACAAAGACUUCACUAAGCGUGUAGAAAGGCCGGCGGAUCGGUUUUCGGACAGGAGUUCGAUUCUCCUCGGCUCCACCA
rnacentral:tmRNA from 1 species